CCCUUCUUUUUCCUGUUGGGUCAGUCCUCUCCCUCCCUCUUUCUCUACUGUGCGCUGCUCUGGUUAGAUCGCCACCGACAACCUCUUUCCUCUCGCCGUCAAAAACCUUGUUGCAGGGUAGUGGUAUUCCUAAGCUUAGAACACUUCUAGUGUUCAGCCGCAAAAUAUUUGGGAAGGAGAUUGCUCGAGAAUUUGUGGGAAUCCCAAAAAAUGAAGCUAUUACGAGCUUUGCUCGAGAAGACAAUUGAGUCGGUUGCUAGGUCCUUGACCAUAUCAUAGGUCUUCUUCAAGAACAAAGGAGGACCUGUGUCAUGCAAACCCUCCAUGGGUUGCAGCGGCAAGACUGAUGAAGAUUUUUUAGAAAACGAUGAUGAAGGCAAUACCCCGUUUUGCAUUCCUCUUCAAGUCAGAUGAUGAAAAUUUUUGAGAAAUCUUUUUAUUUUUAUUUUUUGAGAAUCUGAGAUUUCCAAAAGCCCUAGAUCAACAAAUCUGAGAUUUCCACCUUUGCGUUUUCCAGCAAUCUGAAUUGCCUAAAAAACUUGUCGCUGCUCCUCUCCACCCGGUGCCAUUUGUCGUUUUCUUCAUGCUCCCUACUCCUCUCUCCACUAAUCUGCAAGACCCUUCCCUCCUCUACUUCCACCUUCACUUCUUCCUUCUUCAGCCCUGGAAGAUCAGCCUUGAAUAUGUGUGCUUCUGGGUUUCCUUCCAAUUGAUGCGGGCAUUGACGAAGGCAAAGGUUUCUCAAGCCAAAUUGGGCACAGAGCUGAGGGUUGUGCUGAAAGGGAAGCCCUCGAAGGGGUCCCAAAUAUCCAGAGAAAAUGGGUCAAAGAUGUUGCUUCAUUGUUCGCCGAAGAUGCUAGGAAUGAGCAACAUUCUUCUUUGGUGUUGUUGUCUUUAGCUUAGAAAUGUUGGACUUAACAGAAACUUGGAUGCUGAUUAUAGAAUAUGAAACCAAGACUGGAAUAUUGAUGAGAAAGCUUUUGAGAUUGGUAAUUGACAAUGAAUUUAGUAGAGAAUGUAUUCCAUAUUUAUAGGCAUGGAGAAGGUAGGUCUCAAAUGUUCAGUGUCUUUCUCACCAUUUCUAGAUAUCCGAUCGAUCUGUAUUCUUUUAGCUCCAAAGAAAAAGCCCAAUAGAGGUUACCAAAUUCCGAAGAAGAAAAGGAGCCAAAGCGGUGGCUGAGUUCUCCAUCAUCAUCCUAUCCUAUCUAUCUGGUUCUGGUCUGAAUGUCUGAUUCUUCUUCCUCCGCCGAAUGGGGUGGGCACAGAUUUGCCCUGAUGGAAGCCGGUCGUACCAGGUCCCAGGAGAUCCGGAGUGUUCGUUAUUCGCUUUUCGGGUGGGUAACAUGUUUGUCAUUUCCUUGAAUCGAAAAGGACAAAUCAGCCAUUGCGUCAAUUUUAAAUCGAUUACUGGAGCAAAAGUGCAAAAGUAUUCAUCUGCUGACGUGGCGGAAAACGGGAGAAAUGGAAUCGAAAAGAAAAAAAACAGUUAAAAUAUGGGGCAACCGGAGGGAGCGCGGUGCACGUUAAGGCGCGAGGGAUUAGUCCUCGUAAACCUUCGAUUUUCUUCGUUUUUCGAAGCUUUGAUUGAUAAGUAGAGACUAUUCAGAUUAUGUAAUAUCUUAACUUAUCUGAAACGAAACUGGUAGUUCUCCUUUCCAUUGUUCUUUCUGAUUGGGGAGCUAAACGAUUUCAGAUUCGUAAAAUAUGGCUGACUAUGGCGGAUAUCUCAAUGCUUUUUUUCUUCUUUUUUGGCAUUGAAGGUAUAAAUCUUCCGCAUUGCCACAAUUUUCAGUUUUUAAGGUUUCAAAUGAACAUUUCAAGUUUAAAUUGCGAGACUUGAAGGAAUCCCAGCAGGUUUUAGACGAAAUGCAUAAGAUGUCAGGGUUCGAUCGAAGGGAUUCAAGCUAUUUUAGAGCUAAGAAGUGUAUUUACAUAUAAAUUUCUGAAGAAUUGAAGGAGGUUGAUAGAGUUGCUGGCUCUCAAGCAAAUCUAUUGGCGCCACUCGGAUGAGCGCGAAAUGUCACUGCUAGAGGUAUUCUAUCGGAUGUUUGUACGCGCUGAGAUUAUUGACGAAACUAAUGAUUCAUUGUUGUUAUGGAAUAAAUGAAGAGCUCGGUUUUCAAAUUUUAAGCACAAAAGCGCUCGGGAGGUUCUUUUAUGGGGCGGAUUUGCACAUUGUUGUCUUUUUACCUUCCAGAUUGCUCUUCAAAUGGGUUCUAUUGUGCGAGGGAACUUUUUCUGAGAUUGCAACGUGAAUGGCUGAUUUCCAGAGGGGUUUCGCUGCUGGGAGGGAUGUCGAGCAGGCUAUUACAGCCCUUAAGAAAGGAGCAUAUCUCUUAAAAUAUGGAAGGAGAGGGAAACCAAAGUUCUGUCCUUUUCGGCUUG